GAUGAACGCUGGCGGCGUGCCUAAUACAUGCAAGUCGAGCGAACGGACGAGAAGCUUGCUUCUCUGAUGUUAGCGGCGGACGGGUGAGUAACACGUGGAUAACCUACCUAUAAGACUGGGAUAACUUCGGGAAACCGGAGCUAAUACCGGAUAAUAUUUUGAACCGCAUGGUUCAAAAGUGAAAGACGGUCUUGCUGUCACUUAUAGAUGGAUCCGCGCUGCAUUAGCUAGUUGGUAAGGUAACGGCUUACCAAGGCAACGAUGCAUAGCCGACCUGAGAGGGUGAUCGGCCACACUGGAACUGAGACACGGUCCAGACUCCUACGGGAGGCAGCAGUAGGGAAUCUUCCGCAAUGGGCGAAAGCCUGACGGAGCAACGCCGCGUGAGUGAUGAAGGUCUUCGGAUCGUAAAACUCUGUUAUUAGGGAAGAACAUAUGUGUAAGUAACUGUGCACAUCUUGACGGUACCUAAUCAGAAAGCCACGGCUAACUACGUGCCAGCAGCCGCGGUAAUACGUAGGUGGCAAGCGUUAUCCGGAAUUAUUGGGCGUAAAGCGCGCGUAGGCGGUUUUUUAAGUCUGAUGUGAAAGCCCACGGCUCAACCGUGGAGGGUCAUUGGAAACUGGAAAACUUGAGUGCAGAAGAGGAAAGUGGAAUUCCAUGUGUAGCGGUGAAAUGCGCAGAGAUAUGGAGGAACACCAGUGGCGAAGGCGACUUUCUGGUCUGUAACUGACGCUGAUGUGCGAAAGCGUGGGGAUUAAACAGGAUUAGAUACCCUGGUAGUCCACGCCGUAAACGAUGAGUGCUAAGUGUUAGGGGGUUUCCGCCCCUUAGUGCUGCAGCUAACGCAUUAAGCACUCCGCCUGGGGAGUACGACCGCAAGGUUGAAACUCAAAGGAAUUGACGGGGACCCGCACAAGCGGUGGAGCAUGUGGUUUAAUUCGAAGCAACGCGAAGAACCUUACCAAAUCUUGACAUCCUUUGACAACUCUAGAGAUAGAGCCUUCCCCUUCGGGGGACAAAGUGACAGGUGGUGCAUGGUUGUCGUCAGCUCGUGUCGUGAGAUGUUGGGUUAAGUCCCGCAACGAGCGCAACCCUUAAGCUUAGUUGCCAUCAUUAAGUUGGGCACUCUAAGUUGACUGCCGGUGACAAACCGGAGGAAGGUGGGGAUGACGUCAAAUCAUCAUGCCCCUUAUGAUUUGGGCUACACACGUGCUACAAUGGACAAUACAAAGGGCAGCGAAACCGCGAGGUCAAGCAAAUCCCAUAAAGUUGUUCUCAGUUCGGAUUGUAGUCUGCAACUCGACUACAUGAAGCUGGAAUCGCUAGUAAUCGUAAAUCGGCAUGCUACGGUGAAUACGUUCCCGGGGUCU
rnacentral:rRNA from 1 species